rnacentral:rRNA from 1 species
AACGAACGCUGGCGGCGCGUCUUAAACAUGCAAGUCGAACGGCAGGAAGGGGCUUGCUUCUGAGAGUGGCGGACUGGUGAGUAACACGUGGGUGACAUACCUUUUAGUUGGGGAUAGCUAUUAGAAAUAGUAGGUAAUACCGAAUGUGACCGUAUUUAUUAGAAGGAUACGAGGAAAGGAGCUAAGGCUUCGCUAAAAGAAUGGCUCGCGGCCCAUUAUGCUAGUUGGUGAGGUAAUGGCCCACCAAGGCGAUGAUGGGUAUCCGGCCUGAGAGGGUGAACGGACACAUUGGGACUGAGAUACGGCCCAGACUUCUACGGGAGGCAGCAGUUAAGAAUAUUCCGCAAUGGACGAAAGUCUGACGGAGCGACGCCGCGUGGAUGAAGAAUGCCGAAAGGUUGUAAAAUCCUUUUAAGCCUGAUGAAUAAGCACAGUAGGGAAUGAUUGUGCGGUGACCGUAGGGCUUGAAUAAGCACCGGCUAAUUACGUGC